rnacentral:rRNA from 1 species
CCUUGACAUGUCUGGAAUCCUGUAGAGAUACGGGAGUGCCUUCGGGAAUCAGAACACAGGUGCUGCAUGGCUGUCGUCAGCUCGUGCCGUGAGAUGUUGGGUUAAGUCCGCAACGAGCGCAACCCUUGUCCUUAGUUGCCAGCACGUAAUGGUGGGAACUCUAAGGAGACUGCCGGUGACAAACCGGAGGAAGGUGGGGAUGACGUCAAGUCAUCAUGGCCCUUACGGCCAGGGCUACACACGUACUACAAUGGUCGGUACAGAGGGUUGCAAUACCGCGAGGUGGAGCCAAUCCCAGAAAGCCGAUCCCAGUCCGGAUCGAAGUCUGCAACUCGACUUCGUGAAGUCGGAAUCGCUAGUAAUCGCGGAUCAGCUAUGCCGCGGUGAAUACGUUCCCGGGCCUUGUACACACCGCCCGUCACACCAUGGGAGUGAGCUGCUCCAGAAGCCGUUAGUCUAACCGCAAGGGGGACGACGACCACGGAGUGGUUCAUGACUGGGGUGAAGUCGUAACAAGGUAGGCGUAGACGU